CACAUCACAUUGAAGCACCAGUUCCCAUAUGAUCACCAAAGUUAAGCAAUGUCAAACCUAGUCAGUACCAAGAUGGGUGACUGCUUGAGAAUACCAGGUGCUGUAAG